rnacentral:rRNA from 1 species
AUGAACGCUGGCGGCGUGCCUAAUACAUGCAAGUCGAGCGAACGGACGAGAAGCUUGCUUCUCUGAUGUUAGCGGCGGACGGGUGAGUAACACGUGGAUAACCUACCUAUAAGACUGGGAUAACUUCGGGAAACCGGAGCUAAUACCGGAUGAUAUUUUGAACCGCAUGGUUCAAAAGUGAAAGACGGUCUUGCUGUCACUUAUAGAUGGAUCCGCGCUGCAUUAGCUAGUUGGUAAGGUAACGGCUUACCAAGGCAACGAUGCAUAGCCGACCUGAGAGGGGGAUCGGCCACACGGAAACUGGAACCGGGCCCAGACCCCUACGGGAGGCCGGAGGAGGGAAUUUUCCGAAAGGGGCGAAAGCCUGACGGGGCAACGCCGGGGGGGGGAUAAAGGUUUUGGGUUUGGAAAACUCUGUUAUUAGGAAAAAACAUAUGUGUAAGUAACUGUGCACAUUUUGACGGUACCAAAAAAGAAAGCCACGGCUAACUACGU